rnacentral:rRNA from 1 species
CCUACGGGAGGCUGCAGUGGGGGAUAUUGCACAAUGGGGGAAACCCUGAUGCAGCGACGCCGCGUGUGGGAAGACGGUCCUCUGGAUUGUAAACCACUGUCCCCAGGGACGAAGAUGACGGUACCUGGGGAGGAAGCUCCGGCUAACUACGUGCCAGCAGCCGCGGUACUACGUAGGGAGCGAGCGUUGUCCGGAAUUACUGGGUGUAAAGGGAGCGUAGGCGGGACUGCAAGUUGGGUGUCAAAUCUACCGGCUCAACCGGUAGCCGCACUCAAAACUGCAGGUCUUGAGUGAAGUAGAGGCAGGCGGAAUUCCUAGUGUAGCGGUGAAAUGCGUAGAUAUUAGGAGGAACACCAGUGGCGAAGGCGGCCUGCUGGGCUUUUACUGACGCUGAGGCUCGAAAGUGUGGGGAGCAAACAGGAGUAGAUACCCGAGUAGUC